rnacentral:rRNA from 1 species
AGAGUUUGAUCAUGGCUCAGGACGAACGCUUGCGGCGUGCCUAAGAAAUGCAAGUCGAGCGAGGUCAGGGUGCUUGCACCCGAAGCCUAGCGGCGAACGGUCGCGUAACACGUAAGCAACCUGCCCUAAAGUUGGGGAUAGCCCUCCGAAAGGGGGAUUAAUACCGGAUGUGGAUAUUUUAUCGCAUGGUAAGAUAUCUAAAGCAGCAAUGCGCUUUAGGAUGGGCUUGCGGCCUAUCAGCUAGUUGGUGGGGUAACGGCCUACCAAGGCGACGACGGGUAGCUGGUCUGAGAGGAUGGUCAGCCGGACUGGGACUGAGACACGGCCCAGACUCCUACGGGGGGCAGCAAUUAGGAAUCUUGCGCAAUGGGCGAAAGCCUGACGCAGCGACGCCGCGUGACUGAUGAAGUCUUUCGGGAUGUAAAGGUCUUUUACAGGGGAAGAAGGAUGUGACGGUACCCUGUGAAUAAGCCCCGGCUAACUACGUGCCAGCAGCCGCGGUAAUACGUAGGGGGCGAGCGUUGUCCGAAUUUACUGGGCGUAAAGCGCGCGUAGGCGGAUAUUUAAGUUGUGGGUGAAAUGCCGGAGCUCAACUGCGGAACUGCCUGCAAAACUGGAUAUCUUGAGGUAUGGAGAGGGAAGUGGAAUUCCUGGUGUAGCGGUGAAAUGCGUAGAUAUUGGGAGGAAUACCGGUGGCGAAGGC